UAGGUAGUUUAAAGUUGUGGAGAUUUGGACUCCACAGCUUUAGGCGGCCUGCU
rnacentral:pre_miRNA from 1 species